rfam:TPA: Bos taurus chromosome 8, whole genome shotgun sequence.
UCCCUGCUAGCUUAGCUGGUAAAGAAUCUGCCUACAGUGCAGGAGACCCUGGUUCAAUUCCUGGGUUAGGAG